CUAUCGAGUUCUUCCGGAGCACAGGGCCAGAGCGGACCAGAUCGUGAUGCGCCAAUGCAAGAAGAAGGCCCGCCAGAUGCAGUACGAGGUGCGCUAUGUGGCCAUCUCGACAUACUACCACGACUAUCUUAGUGUGAAGAUGACCAAGGAAGAAGCGCGGAGGAUGGGCAUUACCUUGGAGAGGGACGAGUUCUUGGCGGUGUGUCCAAAUUGGUGUUAUGGAAAAGACGAGUCCUGGGCGGCAUUGGUGGAUCUUUGGUGUGAUGAGGCUGGAGCCUGGGCGGCUAUGAGAAUAAAAAACAAGGCUAACCGAGGGAAGGAGGGAGUACAUGCUCAGGGAAACUGAAACCACUAUCUCCACAAGGCAGUUAAUGAGGAGAAAUUGAAGCGGCCGCUCUCACACAUGCAGGCGUGGGAGAUAGCCCAUACGCUGAAGGACCCCAAGCCUGGCGAGCC